rnacentral:rRNA from 1 species
CCAAGGUCAUGGAGCUCCACAGGGCGCCGCCCUGGAAGAGGACGCCCGUACGCCGCAGGAUGCGGCGGCGCUCUUUUUCGGUACAGGCCCAGAUGUCCGUAUCACCGUAGAGCACCUGGCCGCUCUGGGGCUGCUUGAGGCCCAUGAGCGUGCGCAGGAGCGAGCUCUUGCCGCAGCCGGAACCGCCCAUGAUGAGGAAGAUGUCAUCGGCGGCCACAUCGAAAUUGACGUCACGCAUGAGCACGAAGGAGCCGUAGCCCAGGGUCAGGUCGCGGACGCGCAGGCGGGGAGUGCUCAUGUCAGAUGCCCAGUACGUUGCAGAUGAUGGUGAUGACGGCCGUGGCGAUGAUGAUGCCCACGAUGGACUGGACCACGGCCGUGGUGGUGGCCAGGCCCACGGCCUGGGCGCUGCGGCCGCAGCGGAUGCCCUGAUAGCAGCCCGCCAGGGCGAUGAUGAUGCCGAACACUGUACCGUAGGCGAUGCCGAUGAGCCCGUGGACGAAGGAGACCAUCUGCAUGGUGGCGUUGAGGUAUUCGGCGGAACUCAGCCCCAGCAUGGAGACGCCCACCACAUAGCCGCCCAGGAUGCCCAUGAGGUCGGCAUAGACCGUGAGCAGGGGGACCAUGAGCAUCAGGGCCAGCAUGCGCGGCAGCACCAGAAAAUCUAUGGGCGAGAUGCCCAGGGUGGUCAGGGCGUCCACUUCCUCGUUGACCUGCAUGGUACCGAUCAUGGCCGCAUAGGCGGCCCCCACGCGGCCGGACAUGACCACGCCCACCAUGACCGCGCCCAUGACGCGCAGCAUGCCGAUGCCCACCAGCCCGGCCACAUAGAUCUGGGCGCCGAACUGCGUCAGCUGCACCGCGCCCACAAAGGCCAGGAUCAGACCGAACAGCAGGCUGGUGAUGGAGAUGAUGGGCAGGGCGCGCACACCGCAUUCGUACAUGGCUUCUAUAAAGUCCUGCAUGCGCAUGCCGGCGCGUCCCAGGAUGAGACGCCAGAUGGAAAGGGUCACAUCGCCGAGGAAUUCCAGAAAAUCCGCACAGCGGGGCGGCAGGCCCAUGACCGCCUCGCCCACCCGGGCAAAAAGCCCUUGCCGGUGGUCGCUGCGGGCGGCCCCUGCCUGGGCCGGGAUGGCGAAGGCCAGGUGCAGCAGUCGUGCCAGUCCUGUGGGCAUAACGGGGCUAAAAUUCAUACCGAAGCUUAGGAAUGAUAGUAAUAUUGUUGGUAGAUGAGCGUUGUGUAAGUCUGCGAAGCUACACCGAAAGGAGUAGUGGAGAUAUCACAAGUGAGAAUGCCGGAAUGAGUAGCGAGAAUUAUGUGAGAAUCAUAAUGGUCGAAAAUCUAAGGUUUCUUGAGGAAGGUUCGUCCGCUCAAGGUAAGCCGGGAGCUAAGGCGAGGCCGAGAGGCGUAGUCGAUGCACAUACGGUAAAGAUUCCGUAGCCACCGAAGUCGUUAAAUACAGGGACACAGGAACAUAGCCUAACCCCACCGUUGGUUGAGUGGGGCGUAAGGGAGCGAAAAAUAGUAGCGAAGUAGGUGAUUGUACACUGGCGAGAAAAGCUGUAUGAAUUGACAAGGUGCCCGUACCGCAAACCGACACAGGUAGAUGAGGAGAGAAUCCUAAGACCAGCGGGAGAAGUGUUGUUAAGGAACUCGGCAAAAUGACCCCGUAACUUCGGGAUAAGGGGAGCCUACGAGAGUAGGCCGCAGAGAAUAGUCUCAAGCGACUGUUUAGCAAAAACACAGGUCUAUGCUAAAUCGAAAGAUGAUGUAUAUGGGCUGACGCCUGCCCGGUGCUGGAAGGUUAAGGGGAAGUGUUAGAGCAAUCGAAGCACUGAACUUAAGCCCCAGUAAACGGCGGCCGUAACUAUAACGGUCCUAAGGUAGCGAAAUUCCUUGUCAGGUAAGUUCUGACCCGCACGAAUGGCGUAAUGAUUUGGGCACUGUCUCAACAGCCCGCCCGGCGAAAUUGUAGUACUGGUGAAGAUGCCAGUUACCCGCAACUAGACGGAAAGACCCCAUGGAGCUUUACUGUAGCCUAAUACUGAAGAUCGGUAAUGCAUGUACAGGAUAGGUGGGAGCCAGCGAAACCCGGGCGUCAGCUCGGAUGGAGGCAACCUUGGAAUACCACCCUUGUAUUGCUGGUUUUCUAACCUGCGGCCAUGAAUCUGGUCGGGGGACACUGUUAGGUGGGCAGUUUGACUGGGGCGGUCGCCUCCAAAAGCGUAACGGAGGCGCUCAAAGGUUGGCUCAGCACGGACGGAAAUCGUGCAUAGAGUGCAAACGCAUAAGCCAACUUGACUGCGAGACCGACGGGUCGAGCAGGUACGAAAGUAGGAGUUAGUGAUCCGGUGGUAUGUGAGUGGAAAUGCCAUCGCUCAACGGAUAAAA